rnacentral:rRNA from 1 species
GAUGAACGCUGGCGGCGUGCCUAAUACAUGCAAGUCGAGCGAAUGGAUUAAGAGCUUGCUCUUAUGAAGUUAGCGGCGGACGGGUGAGUAACACGUGGGUAACCUGCCCAUAAGACUGGGAUAACUUCGGGAAACCGGGGCUAAUACCGGAUAACAUUUUGAACCGCAUGGUUCGAAAUUGAAAGGCUGCUUCGGCUGUCACUUAUGGAUGGACCCGCGUCGCAUUAGCUAGUUGGUGAGGUAAAGGCUCACCAAGGCAACGAUGCGUAGCCGACCUGAGAGGGUGAUCGGCCACACUGGGACUGAGACACGGCCCAGACUCCUACGGGAGGCAGCGGUAGGGAAUCUUCCGCAAUGGACGAAAGUCUGACGGAGCAACGCCGCGUGAGUGAUGAAGGCUUUCGGGUCGUAAAACUCUGUUGUUAGGGAAGAACAAGUGCUAGUUGAAUAAGCUGGCACCUUGACGGUACCUAACCAGAAAGCCACGGCUAACUACGUGCCAGCCGCCGCGGUAA